UACGAAGGGGGCUAGCGUUGCUCGGAAUCAUUGGGCGUAAAGGGUGCGUAGGCGGCGCGGUAAGUCGGGUGUGAAAUUUCGAGGCUUAACUUCGAAACUGCAUUCGAUACUGCCGUGCUAGAGGACUGGAGAGGAGACUGGAAUUUACGGUGUAGCGGUGAAAUGCGUAGAUAUCGUAAGGAAGACCAGUGGCGAAGGCGGGUCUCGUGGACAGUUCCUGACGCUGGAGGCACGAAGGCCAGGGGAGCAAACGGG
rnacentral:rRNA from 1 species